CGUCGUAAGUCUCUGGCCACGAAGCUCUGCUAAAAUUCCCUGGUGCUAAGAAUCGCCGGUUUUGACUAAUCAAAUCGCCGAUUUGUGCCUGUUUUUUUGGUAAUUUCGUCAAAUCACUUGUGGGACUUUGGUCCAUUAAGCCAAAUCGUCGGUUUCCAUUUGAAAUCAUCGAUUUGGCCUCCCACAUUUCGCUCACUAAGCCAAAUCAUCGGUUUCUAUUUGAAAUCUUCGAUUUGGUCUUACAGAUUUCGUUCCUUAAGCCAAAUCGCCGAUUUGGUUUUCUUGUGGAUCGUUUAUACAUUCAUCGC
rnacentral:lncRNA from 1 species